rnacentral:lncRNA from 11 species
GGGAUGUGUAGUUAUCUCCACAGGGUGGCUUUGGUGAAGCAAGGAAAAAACAUCUAUAGCUAACUAAGAAUUAUGUAGAGCCUGUGAGCUGGUCGUAGGAUAGCAUUUGCUAUCUGUUCUCUUGGAUUUUAGCUGCAAUCUCCACAUUAGUAAAGAUGUUGUUCUUCAUUGCGUGGAGAGCAUCCACUUCUAGGGCAAGCUCUCCUGUUCAGACUUGUCCCUCUCCAGGCCCGGGCUGUGGCGCAGGCGGGAGAGCAAGCCAGCUGCAACGAAUCACUCUGACCAGGAGGUCAUGAGUUCGAGGCCCGCUCGGAGCCUAUGUUUGUCUUGUCUUUGUUCUAUAUUAAAAGGCAUUGAAUGUUUGCCUAUAUGUGUAAUGUGAUCCGCCCUGAGUCCCCUUCGGGGUGAGAAGGGUGGAAUAUAAAUGCUGUAAAUAAAUAAAUAGGCAAAGGAUACAUUGGGUGACCCUCCCCAUAAAUGCACAGCAGAGUAACUCAUCAGCAGCAGCGUGACCCAGCACCAGUAGCCA